GAGACUCCCAGUCUUGUAGCCAGGUAACUAGGAGAGGUAAAACGGGACUGACACACACCAGGGAGAGGAAAGGACUCGGCAGCACUGCUCAGCUCUGGUUCAUGGAGGUGCAGGGGAUUGAACCUGGGAUCCCAGAGCCUCAGGCAUCAGAGUCUGUUGGCAUAACCUUUAUGCUGUCUCCACCAGCCUUUCAGGUGAACAAGGAGCUACUGUUGACAGGACGUCCUAACCUAGAUGCCAGCCUCUCCAGUGUUCUCACCAACACUGCACCCCGCUCCUUACACUCCCUCGCUCCUGUCCUUCUGUGUCCCCUGUGUCAGUAACUAGUGCACCCCCCUCACCUGGGAGUCCUCCCUGGCUCCUCCCUCUGCUUCUCACCUGGACACCUGACCUGCUCUGAUCAGCCUCCCUCCCCUGGUCCUCUGGCCGUGUCUUCCCCCACUACCGACCGCCACGUCCCCAGAGUCGCCUCUGACCCUGCUCCCAUCCACCCGGCGGCUGCUCCACCAGUCGCGCCACUGCCUGGC